GUUGGACUAGAUUUCUCCCCUAGAUUUGCAGGCACUGAUGAACAGAAGGAAGAGCAAAGACAAGUUCUAAUCAGACAAGUCCAAUUAGCCAAAAGACUAAAUUUGCCUUUAAAUGUUCACUCACGCUCUGCUGGAAGACCUACCAUCAACCUCUUACAUGAGCAAGGCUGAGCAGCUAUCUUUAAGAACUGGAGGUGGUUUUGUGAAGCCAACUCUGAC